rnacentral:rRNA from 1 species
AGCAGCCGCGGUAAUUCCAGCUCCAAUAGCGUAUAUUAAAGUUGUUGCAGUUAAAAGGCUCGUAGUUGAAUUUCGGGAUCAAUUUGUUGGUCGUACCUUGGUACGUACUGACAUUAUUGGUUUCUCCCUUCUGAGAAUCCUUGAUGUCAUUAAUUUGGUGUCUUGGGGAAUCAGGACUGUUACCUUGAAAAAAUUAGAGUGUUUAAAGCAGGCAUACGCUUGAAUACAUUAGCAUGGAAUAAUGAAAUAGGACGUUCGAUUCUAUUUUGUUGGUUUCUAGGAUCGACGUAAUGAUUAAUAGGGAUAGUUGGGGGCAUUAGUAUUCAAUUGUCAGAGGUGAAAUUCUUGGAUUUAUGAAGACUAACUACUGCGAAAGCAUUUGCCAAGGAUGUUUUCAUUAAUCAAGAACGAAGUUAGGGAUCGAAGACGAUCAGAUACCGUCGUAGUCUUAACCAUAAACUAUGCCGACUAGGGAUCGGAUGAUGUUAAUUUUUAGUGACUCAUUCGGCGCCUUAAC